AGAUUCGCCCGGAGGAAGCUGGGACAACAACAACAACAACAGAGGCCACCACUCCCUCGCCAGGCGAUGGGGGAAACGGGAGCAAGAGAUAGGAAAAAGAGGGGGCCUGCGGAAAAGGAAAAGGAAGCUUUGGAGAGGCGGGGCUGCAUCGAGAACGGAUUUCGAGUGCGAAGGGCUGUGUUUCCUUUCCUUUUCCUGGGAAAUCGGGCCUGCGGAAAAGGGAAAGGAAGCUUUAUCCGCCGGGCUGCAAAACCCCUAUGCGAGCUGCGUAGGGGCAAGCGAGUGAGCUGAGUCCCGCGUAAAGGAGACUCGUAGCUCCUGCCUGGAGCGAAAUCGUCAAAGAUAUCGGAAUAAGGGCUUUACAAAUAUCUUUUACAGCUAGGAGAUGGUACCGCCUUAGGGAUGCUGACCACUGGGUCUUUUUUAAAAAAAUGCUGGUUAUUGUUGUCUGGGGUCACGUAUUUUGUUGAAUAAACAAAGUGUUUUGAAACC